rnacentral:rRNA from 1 species
AUACGGAGGGUGCAAGCGUUACUCGGAAUCACUGGGCGUAAAGCGCGCGCAGGCGGUCUUUUAAGUUGGAUGUGAAAGCCUACAGCUCAACUGUAGAACUGCAUCCAAAACUAUUAGACUAGAGUCUGGGAGGGGAAGAUGGAAUUAGUUGUGUAGGGGUAAAAUCCGUAGAGAUAACUAGGAGUACCAAAAGCGAAGGCGAUCUUCUGGAACAGUACUGACGCUGAGGCGCGAAAGCGUGGGGAGCAAACAGGAUUAGAAACCCGAGUAGUCC